rnacentral:lncRNA from 11 species
GGAUGUAUGUUCUGCCACAGCUUCAGCACAGGCCAUGCUGAGAGCUUUUCUAACAUGCUAAAUCAAAACAGCAGGGUAUCUGUGGCCUCAAAGAGUGACUUGAGAAACUGCCAUUCGCUUCUGUGAGAGAACUGGCUGUCUGCAAGGAUGUCGCC